rnacentral:piRNA from 1 species
CUGAAAACUGUGUCAUCCUUCAAUUCCUGG